rnacentral:rRNA from 1 species
CCUACGGGAGGCUGCAGUGAGGAAUAUUGGUCAAUGGACGAGAGUCUGAACCAGCCAAGUAGCGUGAAGGAUGACUGCCCUAUGGGUUGUAAACUUCUUUUAUAUGGGAAUAAAAUGUUCCACGUGUGGGAUUUUGUAUGUACCAUAUGAAUAAGGAUCGGCUAACUCCGUGCCAGCAGCCGCGGUAAUACGGAGGAUCCGAGCGUUAUCCGGAUUUAUUGGGUUUAAAGGGAGCGUAGGUGGAUUGUUAAGUCAGUUGUGAAAGUUUGCGGCUCAACCGUAGAAUUGCAGUUGAAACUGGCAGUCUUGAGUACAGUAGAGGUGGGCGGAAUUCGUGGUGUAGCGGUGAAAUGCUUAGAUAUCACGAAGAACUCCGAUUGCGAAGGCAGUUCACUGGACUGCAACUGACACUGAGGCUCGAAAGUGUGGGUAUCAAACAGGAUUAGAUACCCGUGUAGUC